CCUACGGGUGGCAGCAGUGAGGAAUAUUGGUCAAUGGACGAGAGUCUGAACCAGCCAAGUAGCGUGAAGGAUGACUGCCCUAUGGGUUGUAAACUUCUUUUAUAUGGGACUAAAACGUUCCACGUGUGGGAUUUUGUAUGUACCAUAUGAAUAAGGAUCGGCUAACUACGUGCCAGCAGCCGCGGUAAUACGGAGGAUCCGAGCGUUAUCCGGAUUUAGUGGGUUUAAAGGGAGCGUAGGUGGAUUGUUAAGUCAGUUGUGAAAGUUUGCGGCUCAACCGUAAAAUUGCAGUUGAAACUGGCAGGAUGGAGUACAGUAGAGGUGGGCGGAAUUCGUGGGGUCGCGGGGAAAUGCUUAGAUAUCACGAAGAACUCCGAUUGCGAAGGCAGUUCACUGGACUGCAACUGACACUGAGGCUCGAAAGUGUGGGGAUCAAACAGGAUUAGAUACCCCGGUAGUC
rnacentral:rRNA from 1 species